AUGCUUGUUUUGGCAGCACAUUUACUCAAGUUGGAACCACACAGGGAAGACUAGCAUGGCCCUUGUGCAAGGAUGACAUGAAAAUACUGUGAGCAAUCCACAGUUUGA